rnacentral:lncRNA from 1 species
GGUCACAGAGCCUGUUGCCAGGCAGCCUCCCGAUGCCGGCUUUCCUGGCAGGACCAGGGCCUCUGCCUCCCUCCAGGGUCAGGGCCACCUGCUUCCUCAGCCCAGCGAGGCGAGGGCCCGGCGUGGCAGGCUGUCUGGGCUUCGGCCGCAGGCGGCUCCUCCCGCCGCCCUCGGGCUGCGUCUCUGUCCCCCGUGCUGCCCAGGCCCUCUGGGCCCAGCGGACUCUCGCCGUGGGUCCCCAGUGCGGCGCCUGCCUUCCCCUCAGUCCAGGCUCACAGUGGCCGCCAGGUCCACUCCUUGUCAGACGUCUGCACCGCGAGCCGCCUUGCGAGACCACCCGUCUCAAGAGGGAGCGGAGACCCAUGGCCACUUCCAACAGCUCUGCGCGUGUUUGCGGAUGAGCGAGGGGCGAAUGAACGGCCCUGGGUCCCCGUCAGCUCGCUCAUCAGCUCGGAUUCCGGGCCUGGCCGUCACCACCACUGGAGGGGACAUGUCCACGGGAGGCGGGGCUGGCUGCCCCACUGUGGGAGGGGACAUGUCCACCAUGGGAGGGGACACGCCCACGGGAGGCGGGGCUGGCUGUCCUCACCACUGGACGGGACGUGUCCACGGGAGGCGGGGCUGGCUGUCCUCACCACGGGAGGGGACAUGUCCACCAUGGGAGGGGACACGCCCACGGGAGGCGGGGCUGGCUGUCCUCACCACUGGACGGGACAUGUCCACGGGAGGCGGGGCUGGCUGUCCUCACCACGGGAGGGGACAUGUCCACCAUGGGAGGGGACACGCCCACGGGAGGUGGGGCUGGCUGUCCUCACCACGGGAGGGGACAUGUCCACGGGAGGCGGGGCUGGCUGUCCUCACCACGGGAGGGGACAUGUCCACCAUGGGAGGGGACACGCCCACGGGAGGUGGGGCUGGCUGUCCACACCACUGGACAGGACAUGUCCACGGGAGGCGGGGCUGGCUGCCCCACCAUGGGAAGGGACAUGUCCACCAUGGGAGGGCUGGGUGAGCCCACGGGAGGCAGGGAUGGCUGCCCCACCGUGGGAGGGGACAUGUCCACCAUGGGAGGGCUGGGUGAGCCCACGGGAGGCAGGGAUGGCUGUCCCACCGUGGGAGGGGACAUGUCCACGGGAGGCGGGGCUGGCUGCCCCACCAUGGGAGGGGACAUGUCCCUGGGAGGCGGGCUGGCCCUCAGAUUGUCCCUCCCCACCAGUAACCCCCAGAGAGGUUCUGUGCUCACCCUGUGGACCUGCUUGGUGA